rnacentral:antisense_RNA from 1 species
CUUCACCGAGCCGAGCCAGACCGGGCCGUCCUCCGGCCGGUCCUGCCCGUAGGUGGCCAGCAGCGCCUGCGCCUC